rnacentral:lncRNA from 1 species
CCAUUCCACAUAUGGUUAGAAAGAGAAAAAAUAUAUUUUAAGGCUUGGAGUAUUAUUUUUGACAGUUACAUCAAAUAGAAGAGGAUACAUAGUGGAAAAAUUAUAGUUCGGGAUAAAAUGAGAAUCAAUUAAUACUUUGACAGUUUUGCCCUUUUGAUUACUCUAAAUCCGUCAUUGUCACUUUUUUUUUUCGCUUUGAACUAUAAAUAUUUUAUCUUAAAAAAUAACAAGUUUUAUAGUCGGCAUUGUCCAUUACCCCGCCAAAACAUAAUAAUAGACAGAUUGUCAAAAAUCUGGUAAAUUUAUUUUGGACACGGUAUUGGGUUUGAAUAUAAGUGUGAUCAAGAUUUGAACCGUUUAACACAUUGACAAAGCCGUUUGAUUGCUACACAAGGAAGGUCUCAUAUACAUUAGGAAUCCAUAAGUUAGGCCCAUAAUUAGGCCCGUUUUAACUCUCUAGUUUUGACUAUUUUUUUUUAGCUAUUUUAAUUAUUUUUAUUUUCUAGUUUUUUUUAUUAAAUAUUUUUUAUCAUUUGAUCAAAAUUUUAUAUUUGUCCGGUUUCUCUUAACAAGAAGAAUCUCAAAAUGUAAAAAAGUAUUUUAAUUUAAUAACAAAAUCACUAAUGAUAAAAAAAUAUCUUUGCUUGACAAAUAAACUGUUUAUUUUUUUACUUUUUCAAUUUUUUCAUAACUUGAAUAAUUUUUUUACAUUUUCAAACACAUAUGAAUCGAAAAAAUAUAAAUUUUUAAUUAUACAGAAAGCAAUCAACUAAAAACAAAAAAAGUCGAAAACCAAAGCAGCUAAAAUACCUAUAAAAAAAUUAGUUGAACGGACUAAAAGAUGUGUUGUCGGUCUAGUUCUAAAAACUUGCAAGUAAUAUAUUAUUUGAUUAUUGGUUGCAUCCUAAAUAACCCAAAUUAUUUAUAGAACACAUUUUAUUGAAAUAGCCAAACCCCACAAAAAUGAGUUAAAAUAUAUAGCUAUCCCCAAACAAGGCACUAAUGUUAUGAUUGAACCUCUACUGUAUGUACGUCAUAGUAGUAGAAAUGUUGGAAUUGUGCAGUGGACAAAGAAUAACAAAGCCUUUCAUCACGAUUCACGCCUUACUUUGCUGUUGCUUUAUCCCAAAGCCAAGCCCACCCACACUUAUUGCACAGCUUGGCUUUGCUUCGCAGUUCACACCUUUUGAAACUUUUUUUUAAUGUUUUCUUUGUAUGAAAUCUGGGUCAUAUCCAUGACCCAUUUGCAGUUAGGGUUGUCAAAAAAAAACUGCGAACCGCAAAAUCGAACUGAACCAAAUCGAUCCGUAGGUUUUUUAUUGGGUCCGUGGAUUAAUGGUCCGGAUACGGAUUAAAAAAAUUAGAAAACCGUAAUUCGCGGUUCGGUCCAUGGAUUUUCAUAAACGAACUGUGGAUAACCGAAUCGAACUGUGAGAUAUAUAUAUAUAUAUAUCAUUUAUAUAUAUAUUAUAUAUAUAUUAGAUAUAAGUUAACUGUUCAAAUUGAGAUCUAAAGAGAUCAAUGAAACGUUUCCUAAAUUAUUGUGAGACAAACGAUGACAUUUACGCAUCUAUAAUUACAAGGUCCGUAUAUUAUUCAAUCAAAAUGCGUUAUUUACCCACUUACAAUUACCAAUUUCAGUGUUCAGACAUAUAUGCGAGUUAAAAUGCACUUCUUUGUCUUUUUUUUUUGCAUUUGCAUGAGACAUGACUUUUGUCAACUGUCCGCAAAUAUUAUAUCAUUAGCCUGGCGUUGCGAGUCAUCAGUUAGGGCGUAAUGUAGGUAUGCAUUGUUUAUGAGGAACAUUAGUGGAGUAUACACUUGUGUUUGUAAAUUUCGUUACGCGGUAUUACAAUUUGGUGGAAUGUAAUAAUUUGUGGAGUAACCGUGAUCCGAACUGUGAAUUUUUGGAUUUUUUCGAAAUCGAUCCGUAAAUUUUUUGUCUGGACACGAAUUGUAUUUUCUUGAACCAUAAAAUUUUGAUUUGGUCCUUAAAUUCAUACCAAUCCGAACCAUUGACACCCCCUCUUUGCAGCCUCUGUAUACAACCAAGUACAAAUAUGAGUUAAGUGUGAAAGUCCAUCUACAACCAAGCUUGCUGAAAAAGUCCAUCUACAACCAAGCUUGCUGAAAAAGUCCAUCUACAACAUUUACACCUUUUCCUCCUUAUUUUGAUUUAUUUGUCCAUACCAUUGAUUAAUCAAUUAAAAAUAUUUUCUUCCACCAGAGUGGUAGUCUAGCGGCAUCGGGUUUACUUCCAACUGGUUUGGGGUGUAAAAGUUCUGAAGUUGAAUUUCAUUAUAAAAAGCACCCAAGAUUAUUUCCUCUACAUCGUCUCUCUAGAGCUUCAAUAGAGUAGAAAGUAACUAUAAUCAAUCAAUUUUGGGGUGCAUCUAUAACAUGACCACCAUUGUUGAAUUCGUGGGUUGGGUCCCUAUAGUUACAUCUAGAAAAAGAAGUCAGAUCAUCCAUUCUUACUCUCUUUUCUCACUAAGAAAAA